GUUGGGGACCCACAUGGGUGUUUGGCGCCAAGGUGGGUUCUAUCUCCACGUGGGGGAUUUUCAAACGUUCAAGUCAUGGCAAUGGAGGAAAAAAAGAAGCUGAAGCCGAUAAAUGUAGAUGAUGACAAAAGACCCCAAAAUUUCUUGAGCAGAUGGGAAUGGGUAACAGGGAAAAGUGAUAGACGUGGAAAUGAAAUUAAAUUUAUAUGUUUUUCUAGGAUUCAUAUCCAUUAGAAUAUGGGAAUAACAACAUUGAGAAAUGCAUAAUGAAUUGCAGUGACCGUUAA